UGGAGUAGGAAGUAUGUCACAGAGGGUGAGCUUUGGGGGUUUCAGAAGCAGAGUCAGACCCAGAGUGUCUCUCCCAUCGCUCGCCCCCUCAUGCCCUCGGAUACAGAUGUAAAACUCUCAGCUUCCUCUCUAGCAUCGUGUCUGGUGCUUUCAACAUGUUUAGCACCAUGUGCUGCCAUGCUCCCUGCUGUGGUGACAAUGAGCUAAAGCACUGAAAUUGUAAGCCAGCCCCAAUUAAAUGAGGCUCUCCUUGAUAUAACUUGCCACGGCCAUGUUUUCUCUUCACAGCAAUAGAACGAUGAUUAAGACGGGAAAUUGAAACGGCCACACGUGAAGACUUUAAUACCAGCAGGGGGUGCUACAACCAUGUCUCCCGAACUUGGAACUUUUAAGUCUCCACAAACUGAAUGUCCUUUCCAACUCAAAGUACGGAGUCUAUUCACAGAGAAUAAGAAAAUCUGAACUGCCUUGGUAAUUGUGUAUCUCAGUAGGAAGAUAGUAAGCUUGCGGUUGAGGAUGAACCUUCGCAAAGUUGAGCUACGUCAAACCAUUAAAACUGGCGUUAUUGCUCACUAUACACUCUUGCCGGUGAAGAUUAUUUGAAUAUCCAGUUCUUCGGCGAGCACAUUGUUUGAGGUUCAUUUUCUUAUAUGGAGAAGCCAUGUGCGGUUUCCCAGAGCUGCAGUUGUGGCAGUCGGCAGGCGAGUGGCAAUCCAUAAACUUUAUCCAUACUUCUA